rnacentral:lncRNA from 1 species
GGACACUUCCUUACUUUCGCAUGAUUUGGGGUUUUAUCUAUUUGAGCGGGGAUGCGAUAGCGUGGGUUACUAAUUUGCGCUUUUAUGUUUUGUAGUGACGAUGCUGGUUACACGCUCCCAGUCUGCCGGGGCGGAUGAUGCUGCACACCCCGAGGAGGUCGAGACCUCCGCUACUUCCGGAUCUAGUGAGGUCCGUGACUUGAGGACCCAGCUUGCGGUCCUCACUGAUCUGUUGGCGCAGCAGACGGCAGCGGCGUAGCGACAGGCUGAGGUGGCUCAGCGGCAGGAGGCGCGGAUGAAGCAUUUUGAGGACCUCCUACUUCAGUAGGCUGCAGCUUCAAGGGAGACCCAGGUUCCCACACCGCCAGCACCCGUGGUGGACGUCGCAUCGAGGGCGCAAUCCCCAGCGCCCAGUUCUUCACGUGCGCCACCGGCGACCACACCUCGGGAGGAGGUGGCUGCGGUACCCCCAGCUCUGAGACCGGCCACGGGGGCAGCUCUCCCUUUGAGAGCCGAGGGAGUCGAGCGGGAUCGGCUCAUGGAUCGCCUCAGUGAGUUCAGGAGGUGCAACCCGAGGAUGUUUGAUGGCGAGAACGUCGACCAC